rnacentral:rRNA from 1 species
CCUACGGGAGGCAGCAGUGAGGAAUAUUGGUCAAUGGCCGGAAGGCUGAACCAGCCAUGCCGCGUGAAGGUCAGUGCCCUAUGGGCGUUAAACUUCUUUUGUGCGGGAGCAAUACUGGUCACGUGUGGCGAGACGAGAGUACCGUACGAAUAAGCAUCGGCUACCUCCGUGCGAGCAGCGCCGGUAAUACGGGGGAUGCAAGCGUUAUCCGGAUUUAUUGGGGUUGAAGGGUGCGUAGGCGGGGAAGUAAGUAAGCGGGGAAAUGCCCCCGCGCAACGGGGUGAAGUGCCAUUGAAACUGCCGUGCUGGAAUGCGGAUGCCGUGUGAGGAAUGUGUGGUGUAGCGGUGAAAUGCAUAGAUAUCACACAGAACACCGAUUGCGAAGGCAUCUCACGAAUCCGCGAUUGACGCUGAUGCACGAAAGCGUGGGUAUCAAACAGGAUUAGAUACCCGUGUAGUC